ACUCCUACGGGAGGCAGCAGUGGGGAAUAUUGGGCAAUGGGCGAAAGCCUGACCCAGCAACGCCGCGUGAGGGAAGAAGGGUUUCGGCUCGUAAACCUCUGUCCUAUGGGACGAAGGAAGUGACGGUACCAUAGGAGGAAGCCCCGGCUAACUACGUGCCAGCAGCCGCGGUAAU
rnacentral:rRNA from 1 species